CAUGAUGAGGGACAUUUUACCACGUGGUCCCAGUUGCAAGUAGCCUUCUUAAACCACUUUAGGCCGGAGGUUGGACAAAGUACAGCCUUGAGAGCACUGGGAGCGGUACGACAGCAAAGAGACGAGGAAAUGGCUAACUACAUCAUGAGGUUUGACUUGGUCUGCAUGCGUUAUGUAGGAGGAUUGUUGAAUGGCGAUACGUUAAAGCAAUUCUUCAUUGAAGGAUUUGCUAAUCGAUCUACAAUCAAGGGAGUAUUAGACAGAAACCCAGCUACUUUGGAGGAAGCCAAAACAGCGGUGCGCGUUGUAGAUUUAAUCGAGAGAAGUUAUGAAAGGCAUUGGAGGAAGGAAGAUGAGUCUAUCUCGGGGUUUAUUCCAAUUAAUCCCGUAAGCCAAGCGGUAGGACCAAGCACGUCAAGUACACCUCCGAUAGUCGACAAUGGUGCCCAAUAUUACAAUGUCAUGCCCACGGCCACCAGAGCUCCGGUACCCUUAUUGGCGUUACCAGAGCCACAAUUGGAGAAGAGAGUGGAGGACUUGGAGAAGAAAAUACAGGCCGGAUAAGAAGGUUUUCAAGACUCCAUGAUGAAGCAGAUCCAAGCCUUGACUGAGCAGAUGGCAUUCAUGGUAAAGAAUCAAAAUUCAAACACCCCACCUCCUCGGAUAGAGUCUGGUAACCAUAACUCGGGGGUUUGGUGCACUAUUUGUGGCCAUAAUGGCCAUUCAUCUCUUCAGUGCCGAGUAAGGCCUCAAGAUAAUCCAAAUCAUCAACCAUACCAGCCAACACAGGGCUAUGGAAGAGAUAGAGGACCUCAGUAGUGGCAAGGAGGUUAUUAAGGUGGUCCUCAAGGAUAUGGUAGAAGUGGCAAGCCUCGGAAGGAGUACCAUGAGCUUUGCAGGAGAUGGCAUGAGCCGGGUCAAUGCUGGGAUGAUGGCCAACUAUGGCCGUGUGGCAAUUGUGGUGGCAAUUACCCUACCUAUGAAUGUAGACAACCUGAUAAGGUAAUUCAACUACCACCACCAAUAACAAAUCCUUAUGAGAACGUGCGGAAUAACAUGAGAGAUCAGAGACGACCUCAUGGUGAUGAUCAGAGGGGCCUAAAACCUCCUAAUCUCUACUACAACUAUGAGGAUUUCAGACAAAACCAUCAACCUCCGGAAGGGUUACAAACCCGCGAAGGUUAUAUCCCAGUUGCCCAAAAUCAAUAAGGCGGCUAUCGAAACUAUGCAAACCAGAAACAAGGUCCAUCUUCUAACCAAGAUGUUAGAGUAGCAGAAGAGGUCUUAUUGAAGGGUCCUGCGCCAUCUCUAGCAAAGACCACAGUGGUGAUUGAAGAACAUGAAGCACCUUCUAAUUUAGUGAUCUACGAAUUGAAGAAAGACGGAGGCGGUGGCCAUGAGAAUGCUACUUUGGCUGUGAUUACCCGAGGGCAAGCUCAUAGGCAAUCACCAAUCGAUGAAGAAGACUCAAAUAGUAGUGAGUCUGAAGAGUUGUUGGAUUUAGUAGCUCUUGAGGCGGCUGCAAAGGAGGCAGCAAGAAUUACAAGGGAGGUAGGCGCCGCAGUAGAUGAUGAAAGGUCAUCUGAAGGCUCUGAUCCAGGUAAAGGGUUAGAACCGGGUGAAUGGGAGGGUCCAGAUAUUCCAGAGGAGGAGUUUGGAGGGUUGGGUCGUACGACACCAACCUCUUACUAGAACUAUGUUCUCUGGAAGGACUUGCGGAGGAUAAAGGCUGACAUCUCAAUUGCUCAACUAUUGGAGAUAUCUCCUUUGAUGAGGAAGAGUUUCAAAGAAGGAUUGCCUAGGGCGAAGAGGAAGAAGAAGACUCAGAAGAGGACAGUGGCUACGGUACAAGCAUCUAUUAGGCCAGUGGAUGUCAAGGCACUGGAGAUCGAGGUCACUAUCAUGGACAAGGUGGUUCCGAAUGUGCUCAUUGAUGGAGGUAGUGGGCUUAACAUCAUGCCACUUCAUACCAUGGAGAAGUUGGGGUUGAAUUUAACCGGACCUUCACCAUUUGUAUUAAACAUGGCAGAUCAGAGUCCUGCUAGGCCUUUAGGCCAGAUCACGAACUGUAAAAUCUCUAUAGGAGGGGAGGAUUACUUAGUGACCUUCCAUGUUAUCAGGAUGCAUACUUCCAAAAAAUCUUUUCCACUUCUCUUAGGUCGUCCGUGGUUGAGGAUGGCCAAUGCCACCAUCAUGUGGGGUGGUGAUAAGCCCUCCAUAGUUUACGGUCCAUAUUAAAACCCCACUAAAGUUAGAAUCAAGCCUUUGAUAGGACUCGAGGUGGUUGACACCAUAUCUAUUGGAGAAGGCACACCAUUAAAAUCCGUGGAUGGGAUGACGUUUGAAGCUGAGGUUCAAACCUUAAAGUGUCUUGGUCCAAAUCUCUACCAUUGGUCAGACAAUGGAGAGUAUGCCAAGUGGCUCCAGGACAACCCUGAUUCUUCAUCAGAAUUGACGGCAGGAUUGAAUUUCAUUGGAAUGGAGUUGGACGAUGGUUUGACACCUUUAAUUGAGGUAGAUGUCCAUUUGAUUGGAAUAGAGGAUGUUGAAGGAGUAGAGGUUUUAGAGGAAAGUGAGCAUUUGCGAGGAUCAUUGAAAUUUAAGAUUGCUUCUUCGGGAAUUACGGUUAGAGAAGACGUUUUCAGUUAUCCCAAUGUGCCUUGGGAUUGGUAUCGAGAUAACAAUGAGCAAUCUCAUGUUGCUAAGGAAGACUCGAAGUUUGUGACAGUGGUGUUUGAAGGAGAAGAACCAAGACAAAUGAAGAUGGGAAGCCAACUAGAAGAUGAAGAGAUCAAGGCCUACUGUGAGUUGAUAAGAGAGUAUCGGGAGGUCUUUGCAUGAUCUUAUAAGGAGUUAAAGGGGAUUCCUCCUGAGAUUGUAGAACAUCGAAUUCCCUUGAUGACUGGUGUAGUGCCGAUCAAGCAAAAGGAGAGGAGAAUGAAUCCUCAGCUUCAAUUGAUUGUGAAAGAGGAACUGGAGAAAUUACUCCAAGCAAGUUUUAUUAAACCUGUUGAGAUCACAGAUUGGGUCUCUCCCAUGGUGCUUGUAAAGAAGAAGAAUGGUAAACUUAGGGUGUGUGUGGAUUAUAAGAAGUUGAAUUUUUGCACCCAAAAAGACCACUUUCCCUUGCCAUUUAUCACUAGCAUCUUGGAAGAAGUGGCAGGUCACGAUUUAUAUACAUUUAUGGAUGGAUAUUCUGGAUACAACCAAGUGUCUAUUGCACCUGAAGAUCGACACAAGACUGCAUUUACAACACCUUGGGGGACGUUUGUGUGGCAUGUGAUGCCAUUUGGAUUAUGUAACGCCCCUGCUACUUUCUAACGUCUGGUGAUGUCUAUCUUCUCAGACUUGUUAUACAAAUCAAUGACCGUGUUCAUUGAUGAUUUCAGCACCCAAUCUGAUGCAGAUUCUCACAUUCAUUUGGUGAAAGAAAGCUUAGAGAGGUACAAGAAAGCUCGAAUGGCCCUGAAUCCAGAAAAAACCUAUCUUGCCUUGACUAGAGGUAUUUUGUUGGGAUAUAUGGUUAGUAAGAGGGGUCGUGAGCCCGAGCCAGAAAAGGUGAAGGUAAUUCAGAAUUUAUCACGUCCUGCCAGUGUGAAGGAAGUGCAACGUGUAUUGAGACACACCGGUUGGUAUAGGGAGUUGAUUGAAGAUUACGCCACUAUUACCCUUCCCAUCACUAGACUUCAGAAGAAAGGCACCAAAUUUAUAUGGACUCAGGCUUGUAAUGAUGCUUUCGAGGUUCUAAAGAAGGAAUUGUCUUCUUAUCCAAUAUUGAGGCCCCCGAGGUGGGACUUGCCUUUCCACAUCUAUUGUGAUGCAAGUGCGGUGGCGGUUGGCAACAUUCUGUGCCAACUUGUAGAAGGCCCAAACAAGGGCAAGGAUCAUCCAAUUGCCUACGCUAGUAGGCAAUUAAAUCUUGCAGAGAAAAAUUAUUCUACCACUGAGAGGGAAUGUCUAGCCAUGGUGUUCUCAGCUAAGAAGUUUAGAUAUUAUCUGUUGAGCAAAAAAGUGGUUUUUUAUGUGGAUCACAUGGCCAUCAAGUAUUUGGUUAACAAACCUGAGUUGAGCAGUCGGUUAGCUAGGUGGGUCUUGUUGCUACAAGAGUUUGAUUACACUGUGGAGUACAAACCUGGAUCCGUACACAAACAAGCAGAUCACAUGUCGAGAUUGCCUGGAGGAAUGGAGACCCACCCAAUUGAUGAUAGAUUGAUAGACGAGAGUCUUUUCUUGGUGAUAGCUAGACCAGCAUGGUAUUUUAGGAUUAUUGAGUUCUUGACUACUCAACAAUGGCCAGUGGAUUUAUCCAAGGACGAGAGGCAGAAGAUUUGAGUCAAUAGUCGUCAUUUUGUGGUGUUAGGGAACUGAUUGUAUCGACGUGGAUUGGAUGGAGUGUUAAGACGUUGUGUGAUGGAAGAUGAGGUUCCUUCCAUUUUGUCGGCUUGUCAUGACAGUGCGUGUGGCGGACAUUUUUCUGGCCAAUUGACUGGUCAGAAAAUUCUUAGGGCUGGUUAUUACUGGCCAACACUCUUCAAGGACGCUCAUACCUAUGUGAGGCGUUGCGAUGCAUGUCAGAGAUUUGCUAGGAAUGACCUUCACAUGCAGUUGCCGCUUCACAUUUCCCUACCAUUGGUGCCAUUCGAGAAGUGGGGCAUCGAUUAUGUGGGAGAGAUUCAUCCUCAUUCAUCUCGAGGAAUGGCAUAUAUUGUAGUGGCCACUGAAUACCUCACUAAGUAGGCUGAAGCCAAGGCUGUGAGGACAAAUGAUGCCAAGAAUGCUGCAAUCUUUCUCUUUGAGAAUGUGAUUACUAGAUUUGGAGUCCCGAAGAUCCUUGUGAGUGAUCGAGGUACUCAUUUCUUCAACGAGGUGAUUGAAUCCAUGACUGAGCAAUUCCAGAUUGAUCACCGGAAGACUACACCCUAUCACCCUCAAACCAAUGGUCAGACAGAGCGAGUCAACCAAAUACUUGGUACUAUAUUGAGGAAAAAUGUUAGAGACUCCAAGCGUGAUUGGGAUGUGAAACUGCCAGCCGCCUUAUGGGCAUAUAGAACAACAUUCAAGGUCACCACGCAGGCUACGCCAUUCUCUCUAGUCUAUGGACUGGAAGCAGUUUUACCAAUUGAGUUUGAGGUUCCAUUCCUUCGGAUUGCAGUAGAUUCCAGAUUGACUGACAGACAAUCUUUAAAGACAAGGUUGUAAGAGCUCGAGGCGUUGGAUGAGAGCAGAAGACGAGGGGCUCAACACAUUGAGGCCAUCCAGAGGCGGCGCAAGGUCGUGUUUGAUAAAUGGAACAAGACUCGGGUCUUGCAACCUAGUAUGCUAGUAUUGUUACAAGAUGCUCGAAAGAUCGACUUUCCAAGCAAGUUUGAUGCCGUAUGGUUGGAUCCUUAUCUUGUCAAGGAGGUAUUUUUAAACAACUCCGUGCAAUUGGAGACCUUGAAUGGUCAAUUGUUUCUCACACGAACAUCAAGUAGCAGGUGUAAAGAAUAUAAGACAUGAGGGAGCACAAUUUUGGGCAAGAGCUCCACCUUUCUAUCUAAUGACAAGGCAAUAGUAUGAACUGGCAUGGUGAAAAUACUUUAAAGGACAAAAAUUAGCAAGAGAAGCUGGAUUCGUCCCCUGAUGGUCGCCAAUUAUGUGAGCCCAAAAGUUGGUUCACAUUGUUGGUUAAAAUAAAACAAUCUAAAAAAAACUGAAGAUUUUGAUUAUGUUUUGUUAUAAUAAGUUAGUUAUAGACAUUAAUGUUAGUGGCUUAUUGAUGAUUAGUAGUGGAAAGAAAAAUCAAGGGAGAAGGGAGUGGUGGAAAAGAUAAGAAAAAGAGCCAAAAGAAAAAAAAAGAAAAAACAAAAAAAAACAAAACAAAAAAGCCAAGAAGAAAGAAGGAAGAAGAUGAAGAGGGAUAAGGAGAAGAAGAAGAAAAAGGAGAAGAAAAUAAUUAGAAGUAAAUUUAUUGUGAUGGGUUUGUCAAAUUAUUGGUUCUUAAUGAUCUAGAACUUAGAUUUGGGUGUAUGAAUAGUCAAACUUGAUGUUUAAAUAUGUUUUAAACACAUUGGUGGAGUUAGUUUUGUCAAAAAAUGCUUUGAAUUGGGAAUUUUGGGCAUGUCUAGCACUAAAAUCGGAUUUAGGACUUAGGGUUAAUGUGGGCCCUUGAUCUUGAUUAGGGUUGGUGGAUUCAGAUGGUGGAGAUGUGGCCGCCACCCUUUGGUCUCUUCCUACUUGGAUAAGAGGGUGGGGGUGGCCACACUCGCUCUCUCUCUCUUUUUUUUUUUUUUUUUUGGGGCGAAGCCAUGCCAAAUUGCAUCCCCACGUACCCUUGUUUCUAUAGAGCUGCAAUUGCACAGCUGUAGUGUAUUAGUUAUCUAGAAAUAGAACGUCAAACUUUACCAAUAGUUAGAUCUUGUCGUUAGCUUCCUCGGGACAGUAGGCACGCUUUGUUUGGAGAGAAAACAAGAAAGUUGUGGUGGUUUUAGUGACAAGGAGGUCAGCUGCCGGCCAGAUCUGGAGGUCCGACUUUGGAAGGCGAGUGUUGGCGGACAGUAUUGAAUUUGGAGCUGAAACUUUUGUGGGGGAUGGUUCUUGUUGUCAGCUUUGCAAGGACUAUUUGCACGCUUAGAUUGAGUAAAGGCCAAGGAAGUUAUGGUGGUUGGAGUGAAGAGGAGUCGGCCAUGGUGAAGAUGUAGCACUCCGCCAACUCAAGCUACUUUGGAAGGUCAUAUCUUGGAAUUCACUCAAGAUUUUCAAGAAAAAAUUGUUGGAGGUGAUGCGGCUUCAAUUCUAGUUUCUGGAAUGCUAAAGCAUAUGCAUUGCACAACUGGAAUGGAGCAAGGGCAAGGGUUUUUGUGGCCAGCGGUGCUCUGACUAGGCCGAGAAAGUCAGGCAACUUUGAGGCAAGAUUUCUUUUAGCUUAAUUGUUGUUUUGCAUUGAAUUUUGUUGGAAGACAAGCGCUUGUAAGUCUACUUUCUAAAAUAGCAAAGCUUGUUAUAAACAAGUUAGUGAUGCAACCAUUGUAGUGGAAUUCGUGCAAGGGGGUCGCUACCAUGACUUGGAAGGUGGCGACUUCCAAUUUUCUUUAAUUUUUAGGAUGAAUCUUGGAUGAAUUAGGUCAAUUGCACGAAUUGUCAGUUGGAUGAUAAGUUGACUUGUGGUUGGAUGAAUGAAUCUUUAGAUGAAAAUUGGAUGAACAAACUUUGAAUGAAUGAAUAUUAUAGGAUGAAUGAGAUUUAAGGGAUAGAUGAUUGAUGAAUGGAAAUUUAGGAUGAAUGAACUUAGGGUUUAUGGAUGAACUUAGGGUUUAUGGAUGAACUUAGGAUUUAUGGAUGAACUUAGGGUUUAUAAAAAUUACGUGUGAGUGAAGUUAAUCCACUUGACUUCUAAACGCAAUUAAGGGUGGAGGAAUUUAGCUCACAAGCACGCAUUGGGCGUCGCAUUGUCUUACCUACAACAUUCAUUGGUUCCCCCCGAUACAUGCAAAAAAUCUUUCAUGAUAGUAUGGUUUUGGGUAGAGUUUUAGAAAAACCUGAUUUGUUUGUGACAAUGACAUGUAAUCCGACCUGGCCUGAGAUUCUUGAUGAGCUUGAGCCAGGUCAAAGUCCUCCUGAUCGUCCAGAUAUUGUUGUGUGUGUUUUCGAGCUCAAGUUAAGAGCAUUAAUGGAUGAUAUUACGAAGAAGAAUGUCAUGGGAGAGACAAUUGCUUUUUGUUACACUAUUGAGUUUCAAAAACGUGGUCUUCCUCAUGCACACAUUCUUCUUUGGUUGAAAGACAAGGUCAAUAACUGUGACCUUGUAGAUAGGAUAGUAUGUGCGGAGAUUCCCGAUUUAGAUAGACAACCGCAAUUGUAUGCUGCAGUUGCCAAGCACAUGAUGCAUGGACCAUGUGGUUUGGACAAUCCCAAUUGUCCAUGCAUGGAAGACGAUAGAUGUACAAAAAACUAUCCGAUGCAAAUUCGAGAUACUACCGAGGUGGAUGGUGAUGGACAUGUUUUGUACCGUCGUCGAAAUCAAGGUCGAUAUAUCGAGAAACGUGUACGUGGACAAAUUGUCCGUUUAGACAAUCGAUGGGUUGUGCCAUACAAUCCAUAUUUGAUAGGUCGGUUUAAUUGUCACAUUAAUGUGAAAAUUUGCAGUUCUGUAAAAACUGUCAAAUACCUCCACAAGUAUAUUUUUAAAGGUCCAGAUCGUGGUGUUGUAGAAACAGAUGAAGUGGUAGAUGAGAUUAAGGAUUUCUUGGAGGGUCGUUAUGUGGCCGCCCAAGAAGCAUGUUGGAGGCUCUUUGGUUUUGAAACUAAUAAUAAGAGCCAUAGUAUUUGUCGUUUGCCUGUUCACCUUCCCGGUCAGCAAUAUGUUACUUUUAAAGAAGGAACAUCUUUGCACUCGAUGAUUGAUCAAAAUGUUGAGACUAAACUCACCAAGUUUUUUGAGUUUAAUUGCCAUAUUGGUGCCUUAAUUGCUUCUAGCAAUCAAGGCAACCAUAUGCUUCUUCGUUACAUGGAUCUUCCACUCUAUUACAAGUGGGAUGUGAAGAAUAACAUGUGGGAAAGAAGAGUACGUAAGAUAAAAGUUUUUGGUCGGAUAAACAUGGUUCCCAUAGAUACCUAAGUAUUUUACUUGCAUUUGUUGUUGACUCAUGUCGAGGCACCAACUUCAUUUGAGGACCUAUUUUGUUUUCAUGAUAUAGUGCAUCCAACGUACAAGGCCGCUUGUAUUGCAAGAGGACUUUUACAAGAUGAUUCUGAAUGGAAAAAUUGUCUGCAAGAGGCAACUGUCAUUCUGUUGCCUAAACAAGUUUGGGGGUUGUUUGCAACACUUCUUGUGUUUGGACAACCGCUAGAUCCUCUUAGCUUACUAAAGACACAUCUUGAUGCUAUGUCUGAUGAUUGGCGCAAUGAUCAAAAUCGCUAUUGCAAAGCAAUUUUGUCCAUUGAAGAAUAUUUGUCAUCAUCAGACAAACAUCUUACAGAUUUUUUUAAUAUCGAAGAAUUGAAUGAGUGUGGUUAUUCAAACAUUGUUGAUGUUGGCGGUGAUUCCAAUGACAAUAUUGAUUUUGAUAACCAAAACAUUACUUUUCUAGAGGAGGAUGUAGGUAGGCUCAACGAAGAACAAUACAUUGUUUUUAAUGCGGUGACCACUGCCGUUUUAAAUUCUGAUUCUCCAGAUCGGCUUUUCUUUUUAGAUGGUCCUAGUGGUACAGGUAAGACCUUUUUGUAUAACACCAUAUUGGAUUAUCUUCGUGGUCGUAAUGUCAAGUGUAUGGCAAUGGCAACAAGUGGAAUUGUCGCAUGCCUUUUGAAUGAAGGGCGAACGGCACAUUCAGCUCUUGCUAUUCCUUUACAGUUGCACGAUGCAUCAAUUUGUAACAUUAGUACCCAGUCUACAUUAGGUCAAAGCUUACGUGAAGUACAAUUGAUUGUACUUGAUGAAGCUUGUGCUGGGCAUCGUUUUAUGUUUGAAGCUAUAGACAGAUCAUUGCGAAAUAUACGCAAUAUAGAUAGUCCAAAUGGUAGUGUUGUAGUAUUAUAUGGCGGUGAUUUUUGCCAAACUUUGCCUGUAGUUGUACGUGGAGGUCGCAAGCAAACUGUUCAAGCUUGCUUGCGACAUUCAUACCUAUUUCCACUAAUGCAACAUUUUCAUUUGACCACUAACAUGCGUUUGCAAAGUCAAGCGGACUUUCAACGAUUUUUGUUAGAUAUUGGUGAGGGCAAAACCGGUCCAAAGGUAGAUUUACCGCUAAGAUUAGUUGCUCCUGGAAAUUCUUUAGAUGGUCUCAUUGAUGCUAUUUUUGAUGAUCCGGUUGAUUUUUCUGAGCGCGUCAUUUUGGCUGUCCGAAAUGAUGAUGCCCAAGAAAUCAACCGAAAAAUCACCGAUCGUAUACCUGGUGAUGUGCAUCAAUGUUUUAGUGUUGAUUUUAUUCACGAGAAUGAUGAAUAUGCCCAUCAUUACCCAAUAGAGUUUUUGAAUUCUUUAUAAUUGAGCGGUUUGCCUCCUCACCAAUUAAGUCUUAAAUGUGGCCAAUAUUUGAUGUUGCUAAGGAACUUGAAUCCGGCAAAAGGUUUGUACAAUGGUAGUCGUUUGCAUCUUUUGCAAGUGUCUUCCAGUGUGUUGUUAUGUGAAAUUGUAGAAGGACGCUAUCGUAGCCAAGAGGUAUUGAUUCCUAGAAUCACACAUCAUUGCAACGAUAGCCGCUUGCCAUUCACACUUUGUCGGAGACAAUUUCCUGUCACUGGUGCUUUUGCCAUGACAAUCAACAAAUCGCAGGGCCAAUCAUAUGAUCGAGUUGGCAUUUAUCUUCGCAAUGAAGUAUUUAGCCAUCGUCAAUUAUAUGUGGCAUUGUCUCGUGGUAGACAUCCUGCAAACAUUAAGGUUGCCAAUGACAACAAUGAAGCCGUGGGAAUGGUUAAAAACAUUGUUUAUCAUGAGGUUUUUACAUGACAUUGUCAUAUAAAUUCCUAUAAAUAUUUACACCUGAAUCAGGUGGAUGGAAAAGUUAAGAGUUUGUUUCAAACUCUGCAUGUUUAGGGUUCAUGCACGCUUUGGCGACGUCCCCUUCCAUCCAAUUGCAUUCUUUUGGUGUUCAAUUAUGUUUUCUCAAUUGAGACAACUUACCAUUCAAUUGAAGAAGGUUACAUCUUGAAUUUCACUACUCAAUGAAUGGAUAUUUUCCAAUGCAUGCAUCUUUAGAUGCAUUUUAUUUCUAAAAUUUAUUACUUUAUUCUAUUAUAUUACAUUCUUAAAAUUCAUGCUUAGGUCAUGAAGACAUAUUUAUAUAUCUAGAUUGUUGUUACCUUCCUUUUAAACUAUUUUGUAAUAUAAGAACUACAUUAAAAUGGUUGGACUAAUGCGUUGCAAAGCAAGCGCCAACCGCUAGUUAUACAAUAAAAAAAAUUUAAUGCUAUCAAAACUUGUUAGCUUGAUGGAAGAAAAUUAGAUGUCAUUCUUUGAGAUGGUACUAUCACCAUAAAUGUAGUGUAUAUCUAUCAAUUCCUAAAUAAAGUUUGCAUUGAAUAUUAAGCAAUCAUAAAUAAAUUAUACAGACAGCAACUGAGCCAAGAGUCUAAGAUUUAUAUACUUCCAUUUACAAUUACCCAUUAUAUUGUCUUGAUUGUAUAAAGAUCAAUUUAUGUAUCACACCCAUUGUAUUGUCUUGAUUGUACAAGGAUCAAUUUAUGUAUCACAAUGAAGAUACUAUGAGUUAUACUGUAUGAUGUUGAUAAGUAUAUAUAAGAAGGAGUCUUGUAACUACAAUACCAAUCUUUUUUAGUUGCACUAAUGAUUGAAGAAUUGUAGAAUGAUAAAACAACAUAAUCAUGUUUUGGAUUUUAUCACAUGUCACUUUAUUCAAUCACUUCUCCAUCAACAAACUGUGACGGUGAAAAGUUUAUAUCCAAGCUAAUCAAUAAUUGGACACUAUCUCAUGUCAUUUCAUAAUCUAUUAAUUUUCAUCAUACAACAUUGUCCUAAAAAGUAGUAUAAUAUAUAAAAAUAAUAUGAAAUAUUAUGAAAAUUUGGAUUGCAAUUAAAAAAAUAAAAAAAUAAAAAAAUUGAUUAAUUUAUUUAAAUUUAUAUUUUAAGUUUUGUAAUUAAAGAUAGAAGUUGUAGGAUUUAUUGGUAAGGAGUGUAGCAGAGCUUUGAUAUCAAAGGUAUAAUAUUUUGACUCCUAAGCCAUUCUAUGUGGAUAGAUAAGGUAAAUUAUAGACAACUUCAUUCCUAUUGGUUGAAGAUUAUGUCCAAUGGAUUUUGAGAUGUUAUCUAGGACCAUAUUAGGGUUUGAGGCGACUUAAAGGGGCCCAUUCAAAAGAAGACAAACCAUUCAAAGUUCAAAAAUUGAAGUUUGUUAGCUUGUGUUAAAGACUAUAUUUUUCUUAUACAAAUCAAAGGAUUUGAAAUAUUUAUAAGGGAGAAAUAGGUACUUGAAAUUAGGAUCUUGAAUUUAUACCUAUUGCUUUUUUUUUCAAAUACAAGAAGUUAUAUGAAAACUAUUAGAGGUCAAAAAGUGAGAUUCAAAAGCUGACUUAAGGAGAUAAAUUUUAUGUAAAAAAAUUGAUAUAUUUCCAAUUUGGAAUAAAAGAGAAAGAGCUUUUAGAAGUCAAUGCUUCAAAAUUAGAGUUUUUAAGUGAUUUCUUUUUAUAGAGAUUUUAGUUUGGACCAUAUCUUGAGUUUUUGAAUGAAUUUUUGGUUCAAAAUUUUUAUAAGUAUAGAUGACUUUGUGAAAAAGUUAUAUAUAAAAUUUCAUGAUAUUUGAAUAUUGGAUUUUUGAGAUAUGAUAGAUUUAGCACAUGGGUGCUUGAAAAUUGACAUGUUUAGUACCUACUAGAAAUUAGGUAAUAUCUAAGGAUCUUAAAUAAAUCUAUAGUUGAUUUUUUGCAUGAAAGUAGUUAUAAAUAUAAAUUAAUCUGUAGAGAAGUUUGAAUCUAAUUGAACAAUUUUAUUAGAAGUUACUGAGUAAUACAUAUUUGGAAGGAAUUCUCAUAAGAAUAGAAAUGAUUUAAGGAUAUCUAAUUGCAUCUUGAGAACUCUUGUGCAUUUUAGACUUGAGUAUUUGAUGUAAUUACCUUCAUAAGGACAAGCUCUAAAUAAGAUUUGUAUUUAAUGAACUUGCAACUUAUUUGAGUGAUUAAUUGCAACCAAAGGCUCAAUGAUUUUUUAAUGCAACUCUCUCUACUAUGACAACAAUAAAAUAAAAAAAAUUAUACAAAUGUUUAAAAAAUUAUAAAAAGACAAAUUUGUAAUGGUCAUAGUUUAGUAUUUGAUUAUUUUUAUCCUAAUACUUUUCAUAAUAAAGGUAGAAAAUAAAAAAUUGACAAAAUAAGAAAAAAAAAAAUAUCAAUUUUAUUAUUUUUUCAAGACUAUAUUAACAAAAAGAACCUAAUGAAAGCAAAUAAAUGAGUGAAACUUUUUUCAAAGAAAUAUGACAAAUUAGAAGUAUGAAAAUAUGUAUAUUAAAGAAAAUUAGAAUAGCUAUUGCCAAAAGAUAAGAAAACUAAAGACUCUUGAAUCUAGACUAAAACAAGGAAGAAAUUGAAAAGAGUGAAGAAGACUUCACUCUUGCCUCUAUAUAUGCUAUCUACUUAGGAAUUACAUGGCAAUAUUCUAAUAUGACUUCUAACAUGUAUUGACUUUGCAAGCCACAUGUCUUAACUUACAAGAUAAGUUUUCUAUGUGUGCGCCACAUAGUUAACUAAUUCUACAAACUACCUACAUAUGUCACAUAUGGCUAAUUUUUUGACCAAGUUUCUAACCUAAAAAUCAAUUAUAAAUAUGUCUAAAAUCAAAAUUGUAUCUAUAAAGCUUCUAAAAAGCUUUUCUAAAAGAUAUUAUGAAAUUAAUUUAUUUUUAUGUACUUUUAUAUAUUUCUAUCUAAUCAUAUAGGUAAUUAUUAGAAUAAGUAUGUAUCUCUGUGACAAUAUGUCUAUAACAUUAUUCCCCCUCAUCUUUUCUAAGAAUGAAUUCUAUAAGGCACAGUCAUCAUAUAUUGAAGAAAUCUAAGAUACAACAAAUUAUAUUUGCCACAUAUUCUGAUCUUUGUUCUCCUUGAAGAUGGUUGAUAGGUCCUCUCAACCAUCAAUAAUGUUCCAUAUCAAGGCGGAAAGACCACCUUAUUAUUUCAUUGUUGUUGGGGCCUUUAUAACUUCCUUCAAAUAAAAAAUUUGGAAUACCAUCAAGAGUUAUUUCUAUCUCUAAUAAAAUCACCAAACAGCAAGAGUCUCUUUUAAAGUUGAGAUAUCAAAUACAUAACUUGCCAUCUAUUUAAAGAAGAAUAUGUUAUUUUUCAAGAUCUUUAUCUUGAUUAUGUCAUCUUGAGGGUUGAGACAAUCGCAAUGUCUCAUUCGAGAAGUCAGAAAACUCUUAAGUUGAAUCUAUUGAUUAUUGAUUUUCUAUCUCUUUUGUAUUAUAAUAUAUACAAAAAUUAAAAAAAAGAUAGAAAGUAGAAUAUUAUCUUUUCUUGAUUUUAUUUCUUUUAUAGUAAAGAUUUUUUAUUCUUUAUCUAUAUUUUGAUGGAUGUCAUUGAUGAACAACCUUUACCUUUCUUAUUGUAUUUUUAAGAUUCUUUGGUGGCUCCCAUAUAUGUUCAUUAUUAUCAUACUCCCACUAAUGAAUAAGAUAUUCUAACCUAUUUCAGUACCGCUUUGAAUUUAAGACUUCUUUUAUCUCAAAUUCUUCAUUAUUGUCUACUUCUAUAAGAAGAUGUGGCACUUUUUUUUUUCUUGGUAUGUUCAUUAUCUUAUAUGAUUCAAGAAGAGAUACAUGGAAUAUGAGAUGAAUAUUUAUUGAUUCUAGUAGGUAUAAUCAAUAAGUAAUUAGAUUUUUCUCUUCACAAAUAGGAAAAGCUCCAAACUUAUGAUAGUCCAACUUAUCACAAGAGUGAUUAGUCUUAAUAUUACGAUGAAGUAAUCAUAUCUUGUCACUCAUGUUGAAUUAUGGUUAUUCUUUGUAAUAGACACAUGUGCUUAUCUUUUGUUAUUCUUGAACAUAUUUUAAUUGCACUUUCAUCAUUGCAUGUAGCUCUAAUAAAUAAUUUGCUAAAUCUUCUAAUACAAGAUUAUCAAUUUUUUAAAAGUCAAAAGUACCAAGUCAUGGAUAAUAACCAUAAUUAACAAAAAAAACAUAUUUGAUGAAUAAAAAAAUAUAUUGUGUUAUUAUAGGCAAAAUUUGACAAUGGCAAAAGAGUCAUUCAAUCAUCUUAUUGGUAGUUGAUGAUACACAUCACUGCUCUAAAAUUUGAUUAAUAUACUUCAUCAAUCCAUUAAUUUGAAGAUAAAAGGCUAAAGAUAACUUUAUAUUUAUUUUUAGAAUAUUAAAAAGAAUUCUUUAAAAUUUUGAUACAAAUUGAGUCUUUUUAUUUAAUAUACUAUCUUUGAACAAUCCAUAAUAGUAAUAGAUGUUUAAAAAAAAACUCAUUUAUUUUUUACUUGUGAUAGUUUUUAUACAUAAUAUAAAAUAUGUCAUCUUCAUAAAAGAAUCUACUAUCAUAAAUAUAAAAUCAUAAAAACUUGAGAUUAGAAGAUUCAUGAUAAAAUACAUAGAAAUAAAAAAAACCAUGAUUGUUUAAGUAUAGGCAAUGGUUGAAAAAGUCCAUAGGAUUAAUAACGAGGAUUUUUUGAUCUUGAAAAAAUAUUAUAUGAUUAGACAAAGUCUUUUAGUACCUUCAAUAUUUAUGACCACUACAAAUAUUUAGAUGUAAGCUUUAAAAUCUUAUUAUAUCCAAAAUGUCCGGCUAUUAGAAAGUCACGACAUGCUUGAAGAACAUGUAAAUAUUCUUCUUCUUUUGGAAUAUAUAGGCAUCCUUCAAAAUAAAGUAGGUUGUUUUUGAACUCAAACUUGGAAGCAUCAUGAGACUUAAAAAAAAAAAUUCUAGAUGUCAUGAAUAAGAAGAUAAGAAGAUAUACUUGUUUGAAUUUAUUUGAUAAAGGUUGAAUCAACAAUCAAUUUUGAUUUUAUUGCUUAAAGAUAAAAAUGCUUUGAUUUCAAGAAAAUUAUUAUUUUUUAAUUAAAAGAUAUGCUUAUUUCUUUUGAUAAAAGAUAAUAAUAUCUAAAAAGGAUAUUUGACAAACCUUGUUCUUUUUUAAAUCAAUAAGUGAUUUUGAAAUGAAAUCUUAAUAAAGACAUGUUCCAACGGGCUUAACUAUGAUUCAAAAUAUAUAUUGAUAUAAAAUAUUCAAGAUUCUUAUAAUCCAUAUAAACAAUGACUAGAUUAGAUGUGCCUUUUAAAUAAUGGUUCCAUUCUUAAAAUGAAUCCAUAAUUGUAAGAAAUUCUUUGUUGUGAAUCGUGUAGUUGAUCUUAGCUAAUGAAGAUUUUCAUAAAUGAAAAGCUACUAGAUGAAGUUUAUCAUUUUUUCUCUUUUGUGAAAAUACUACAUUCAAAGUAAAUUUUGAUACAUCUAUUUUUAUAAAGAAUGACUUAAAAAAUUGACAUGAUACAAGAUUCGUAUAAAAUUAAAAGUUAUCUUUAAAGCUUCAAAUAUUGCUUCUGCUUCUUGAUUCCAUUGAAGUUUGUCUUUUCAAGUCAAACAUAUAAGUAGAACUAUAAUUUAAAAAAAAUCUUUGAUGAAGAUGCAAUAGUAGUUGACAAGUCUCUAAAAUCAUUGAACAUCUCUUAUUAUUUUUGUGAUCUUUCAAUCCAUAAUAGUUUGAACUUUUUUAGGAUCUAUCAUAAGUUCAUCAUUUGAAAUUAUGUAUCUUAAGAGGUUAACUUGAGUAUUAUGAAAUAAAUACUUUUCUAUUUUGGUAUAGAAUCUCAUAUGUUUUAAUUUUUAUAAUACACAACAAAUAUGCAGUUUAUUUUUAUCUAUAUUUUUAAAAUAGAUUAAGAUAUCAUUUAGGUAAUAGACAACAUAUUCAUCUAAAAACUCUCAAAAGACAUCAUUUAUUAGAUGUUGAAAAGUUUUUGGUAUAUUUGUAAUGUCCAUACUUAGUUCAAAAUACAGUCUUCCAUUUAUCCCUUUCUUUAAUGCAUACUAGAUUAUAUACUCCUCAUUGAUCUAUUUUUGUAUAAAUCUUAGCUUCAUUCUAGUGAUUAAGAAGUCUAGAUAUCAAAGGUAAUGGAUACUUGUUAUUAAUGGUAAUUUUGUUGAAUCUUUGAUAAUCAACAUACAUCCGCUAUCGUGAUGUAAUACAACUAUAAAGUGAAACUAUAAUCAAAAUUGAAUUUCUAAUUAAUAUCUAAUUAUCUUGGUUCAAUAAUAAUUUAAGGUAUCUAAACAUGUCUUUUAUAAAAGCCUCUUAGUUUAUUUUCUUAUCUUAAUAGUUAGUAGGUUGAAGGUUGGUUAGUACCUUUACCUUUUAGACUAUAGAGACUCUUUUAUUAUAUUAGAAAGACCAUAAAUUGAUAAAAUUAAGUUAAGAGAGAUAAAUAAUUAAUAUGGUUCAUACCAAGAUUAAGUUGAGGAUAGGAUUGGGCUAAAAAAUCCUUAGGAUAGGUUAGAUUGAUACCCGGUGGUUAACCAUUUAUGAGACAAUGUCAAAAUCAGACAUGUGGUUACUAAAACGAUUGCCUAGGACAAAAUAGGGAUUCAUUUGAAGAUUAGAGAAUAGAAUUUAAGAGCUAGGUUGGAGCUUAUUUCAAAGACAUAAGGUUGAUUUUGAUAGGAUUUGUUUGAAUUUUAUAAUUAUUGUUCAAAAUCAAGGUUUGUAUUGGCAACUUAGAAUUUAUGCAAUACAAUUAGGGCUAGUACUCUUGGCUAGUUUGUAAAAUUGGUGUCACAUCUAUAGUUCAAAUUUUGAAAGUGCUUAGUUAAUUAGGUGUGCUAAGUAUAUAUAAAAUUUUGUGAUAAUCUAAUAAUGCAAUUGAGAGAUAUCUGGAUUUUGGUACAAGAAUGUAUCAAAAGUUGGUAGUUUGGAAUUGGAUAGGAUUUCUAUGAUAUUUGAAGAUCUACAAUUUGGAUCAAGGUAAAAUUUGGCAUAGUUUUAGAAGACUUUAAGAUCAAGGAAUAUUCAAAUUUUAAGUUGAAGUUAAUAGUUGGAGAAGAAGAAAUCACUGUUGGAAUAUUUGUAUCAACUUUCCAGUUGGUGGCCAAGUAAUAUCAAUGUGGUUUUUGGGCAAUCUCUCACAAUUUACAAGUUGAAUAGGAAUGAAUUCUUGUUAAGCACAUAGAAGACUUAUAGUGAGAUUUGUAUGCAAAAUUUUGUUCCAAGUGAAUAGUUAGAUCACGAGCUAUAGUUCACUAAAGCUUGGUGAUUAGAAUUAAGGUUUGUAAAGAAAGUUCGAAAUUGCCUAAUUAUUGAAGUAAUAAGGCAAUUGGAAUUUAUGUAUGGUUGUGGUUACUAAAAAGAAUUUUUUUGAGUACUUUUUAUGGAUUUAAGCACUUUUGAAUUAAAAUCCAAAUUACAUUCUUCUUAUAAGGGUAAAACAUAUUAGGAUUUUUUAGAUAUUUGUAAAACACAAUCCCACCUUCUAUAGCUUCAUAUGUAGUGCAUUUCCAAAUAGGAUGACAUGUAAUAUGAUACUAUAGUAAUCCAUCUUUUUUCUUCAUAGAUAAAAUUAGAGCUUCUAUUGGAGUUUUAGAAUAAUGUAUAAAGUUUGUGGCUUGACUUUCUUUAAUAUAUUCUUUGAAUUCAACCAAUUCAUUUUGUGAUAAAUUAUAGAUUGGUCCAAACAGUGGUUGAGUUCCUUCUUGAAAGUUAAUUAAGUAAUUAUAGGGACAAUGUUCUAGAAGAGUAUUCACAUUUUUCUUUUCUAAUACAUCUUAAAAAUCUUGAUAUUAGCUUGAAAUGCCACUUAAAAUCUUUUUAUCAAUAGAAUGACAUGCAAAAGAAAUGACACAAGAUAAUCUUUUUUUUACAACAUACAAGAAAGUUCUUACACCCAUAAAUAUAAGUUUAGUUAUAUUAGACUUACGACUUUCUACUUAAUUAAUUAUAUUUUUAGUUAUACUUUCAAAAAAGCUAAGUCUAGAAGAAAUCCAAUCUAUUUUAGGAUUAUAUUUUUUUUGCCAUGAUAAAUCUAAAAUGAUUAGAUUAAAAGGAGAUUUAAUGAUAUUAAAAAUUACAAAGCUACUAUGACCAUUAGUUGUUAUUUCUAUAGAAAGGAUUUUAUGAGUACCAUCUCUCAAAGACAAUGGACAAUCAUCUAUGACUUUUACAUGAAUAUGUUUAAUUUUCUUCACUAAAGAUAUGCUAUGGCUUUUAGUAAAUCUUUCAUCUAAGAAACAUUUUGAGGCUCCUAAAUCUAACAAGACAAAAGCUUUGUGAUACUUAGGUUCUAAAAUAACAUUUAUUAUAAAACAAGGAGAUAUUUUUGACUAGAAAAUAGGACCUUCAGUAGGUACUAUACAAGGUUUCAAUUGCAUAGAUCCUAUUGUAGCUAAACAAACUUUUUUUUCAACAUACUAUCUUCUUUGACAAUUGUAUUUUUUAUUUUGUGGUUGUAUUGCUUUUUUGAACAAUGUUGAGCAAUGUCUUUAGAUUCUCUACAAUACAAGGAUAAUCCUUUUUAACAACAACGAGUUUUUUUUUUGCUUAAUAAGAGGUUUAAAAUAUACCAUAUCAAUUUUCAUAUCUUCUAUUUUCAAAUGUAUGUGUUGUAGAAACAUUUGUGGAAAUGAAACUAAAUGAAACAUCCUUGUUUUGCUCUCGAUGGUACAUCUAAAUUAUUUCUUAAUAAUAAGUGAGGUUUUAUAUAAGAUUUUUUAUCACAUUGAGGAUAGGGUAGCCUUUUCAAAUGAUUUUGUAUUGAAGUUGUGGACGACUAUUGCCAUGACGAAAGUAGCAAUGCUCCAAAAUCCUAUCUAUUUCAUACUCUUGUUGAUCAUUAAUUACAACCAGUUGUAAUGGUCAUUGAUAUUGGUUUGAGAAGUAUCUUAAUUUAGUAUGAAAUUCCUUGAAUUAUGAAACAUAGAGGAUUGGAUGGAUCCACAUAUAUGGCAAAAGCUCAAGGCAGUAUGCAACAUCAAAAAUCACUACAAAAAUAUGGAAAGAUUCAAGCCAUCAAGGUGCCAACUUAUGAACUUGGAUUGAUGUAGCAAAUAGAAAGUUGGCAUUGGAGAGUAAUAUCUAAUCAUUCUCUAAGAAGGUCUUAUAUUACCGGUGGUUAUCCAUAUAAUACUUUUAUAGAUUCUAUGUAGUGUCGAGUAAGAGAGAAUUUGUGUUAAGAAAGCAUUGAGCUUCUAGUUAUCACUUAUUGCUCAAUCAAGCCUCAAGAUUUAAAAAAUACCAAAUUUACAAAUAAAAUUGUUCCUAUAGGAGCAAUUGCAUCAAUACAUAAGCCUCAAGUACGAAAGAUCACCAAAAAUGUCAUAAAAAUAUUAUAAAACCUUAUAUAUCUUUAAGAUGAAUUUUUCUUGAAUUUCAACAAUUCAUAUCUAACGAUCGGUCUAUCCAAAAAAACCAAAAUUUUACAUGAAGUAUAGGUGUAUUUUUAAUAACUACUACAACAAAUUUCAACUACAAAUUCAUCACAAAUCUUGAAAUAUCACCAAAAUUCUAAUAAUAGCUUCAAAUCCUUACUUACAUAUACUUCUAUGUAAUUUUUUUUAUACCUCACAAACCAAGUGCUUAAAUACCAUAAAAUUUUGAUAUAUAGCUUUUCAACCUAAUAAUACACAUUUUUGAAAAUUUUAAGCCAAAAAUUCAUCUAGAAAUUUAAGAUAUGGUUCCAAUCAUUACUAUCAACAAAAAGACUAACUUACUCUCUUCGAAUUAUAUGUACUAUCUUCAAUGCUCUAUAACUUCUUCAUAAAAAUUCCAAAUUCAAAAAUUAUUUUAUAAAAGAUAUAUAUCUUAAAAUCACCUUUGCAGAUACAUCUUUCAAUUUUCAAAAUCUUUCAUAAAACUCCUUGAAUCCUCAAAAGAGCAAUAUUAUGUCUUAAAAAGCCACCUUAACUUCAAACACCUAAAACUUCAUCAUCUUAAUUCCAAAUCUUCUAAAAUUUGUACAAAAAUUAUAGUUCAAAUUUUAAACCUUAAAAUCUUUGCUUUUGAAUCUCAAAUGCUUCUUUUGAAGUUGCCAAAAUCCUUGUUAUGGUUGCAAAUAACCUGUUGAAUGCCUAUUGGGUAUGAUCUUCAACCAAAAGCAAUAAAGAUCUUUUUUUUUUAGCCUUCAUCCAUCCAUACUUUACUUUCAUCCCUCUACAUAAGUUUUUUAGAGGUUUGAAUCUUCAUCUUUGGACCCUAAUCUUUUCUAAAAAAUUUAUACUAAAUAUUUAACUCUUAUAUAAUUUAAAUACUAUAAUCAACAUAGACAAACAUCAAAAUGAAUUUUCUUACAUCAAUAAUGACUACAAAUGUCCAUAGCAUAUCCUCUAAGGUCCGAUUUGCAUGCUACAUUUGUUCGUCUAUUAAAGGAUAGAGUUCCAUAGACAUGGCAAGUUGUGUACCUAGUAGCUUGAAUAAAGCUUGCCAAAAACUCUCCAUAAUGCGUAGAUCUCAAUCUGAAAAAAUGACACGAGAUAAUCCAUAGUUACAAAAGAAUAUGUCAAAAAAGAUCCAAGCAAAUGUUGGAACAUUAAUAUCAGUUGGCACCACAGCUAAGAAAAGUUCCUUCAAGAAUUGGUGUACAAAUACAACAAUUGUAAUGUGAUUAUGAGGUAUUUGUAGCAAACACGUAAUGAGAUCUAUAGUCACUUAUUCCCAACGUGUUGUAGGUAGUAGAAUUGAGUACAAAAUCCUAAAAAAUGUAUCAUUACAUGCUUUAUUAUAUUGACAUGUUUUAUAAGAGUGCACAAAAGCUUGAAUAUCAUGGUCUAAACCUAUACAAAAUUAUGUUCUUAAGAUUUUUUCUAGAGUCUUUUUAUGCCCUAGAUGUCCAAAUAUUAGAAUAUUGUAUCUCUCUUGAAGCAAGCACAUUCAAAGUAUUGCAUUGUCAGAUAUAUAAAUUUGCUUCUUGAAAUAGAGCAAGCCAUUACUAAGACUAUAAUCUUGAUAUUGUACAUUGUCCACCUUGAGUCGAUUGCUAACCAUCUUAAAAUAAACAUCCCAAUGCAUAGUUUCUUUCUAUUCUAUCUCGUUGAUUAAGUUUGAAAUGAUACUAUUAUUGGUACUAACUUCUCUCUUGUUCUUUGAUUUGGCUUCUAAUUUCAGUCUCUACAAUAAGCUAUCUAGUACAAUAUAUUGUCACUUUUUUCUGUAAUCAAGCUAAAUGUCAAAAAGCUGUAAUUAUUCUUUUCAACAAUGAUAUCAAGAUUUCAUAUUUUUCAAAUACAAAUCAUAUAGCAGAGGUUAGUAAUUACUUAAAAUAAUUAUUGGUUUUUCCAACACAUAGUGUCGCCACACCUUUGUGAUAUGUACAAUUGCUAAUUACUCUUGAUUAUAUAUAGAGUAAUUGUGUUUUGUUCUUCUGAGCUUGUAUGAUUUAUAUACCAUGGAUUGAAGGCCUCUACUAAAGUCUUGUUGAAGGACAUGUCCAAUAAUAAAGUUGGAAGCAUCAAUGUCAAGUGUAAAGUGAAGAUUCAAAUCAUACAAAUGCAAUAUUAGAACAAUAAUAAGUUCCUCCUUCAUCCUCUCAAAGGUACUUUGCUGCUUUAAUUUCCAUUCAAAUAAGGCACCUUUCUCCAAUAGGCUCAUCAAUGAGAUAGCAAUGUGUACAAAUUGUGAAAUAAAAUAGUAAUAAUAUCUAGUAGGGCCUAAGAAUGAAUAGACUUCAGAAGCAUUUUUGAGGGUUGGCCAAUUUUGUACUUUUUUGACCUUAUCAUGUCCCAUAUGCAUGCUUCAAAAGACACUACAUGCCCUAAAAAUGUAACCUUUGACUUCUAAAGUUUAUACUUUGAUUGCUUAUAAUAGAAGUGAUUAUCUUGUAGCUAGUGCAGUACUUUUUGUAGGUGUUAUUCAUGAUUUUUAGCGAUCUCACUAUAAACUAGGAUAUCAUUGAUGAAGAUAAUUACAUACUUGUCAAAAAAGUCUCAAAAUAGUCUAUUCAUAUAACUCAUUAAGAAGGCUGGAACAUUGGUGAUGCUAAAAGAUAAAACAAGCUAUUCAAGAAUUACUUUCUAUAUGUGUUGCUCAUGCUUUUUGGUGAUUUUAUUAUAGACUAAGAUAUUAUUAAUGAAAAAAACUACAUACUUAUUUAAAAAGUCCCAAAACAGUCUAUUCAUGUGAUCCAUGAAGGAAGCUAGAGCAUUGGUGAGGCCAAAAGAUAAAACAAGUCAUUCAAAAUGUCCAUAACACAUAUGGAAUACCAUCUUUUCUAUAUCAUCUUUUGCAAUAGGUGUCUGUUAAUAGCCACUGUGAAGGUCCAAUUUGCUAAAGAUGAUGGCACCUUGAAGUUGGUCAAGAAGAUCAUCCAUGCAUAGAAGUGAAAGUACAUUCUUAACAAUUUACUUAUUGAAGCCUUGAUAAUCAAUGCAAAGCUAAAGUCCACCAUCUUUAUUGGAUGCAAAGAAUAUAAGUGCUCUCUAUAGUAAUAAGCUUUCUUAAAUAAGAUCCUUUUUUAAGAAUUCUUUCAAUAUCUUUUGUAACUCUUUAAGUUCAUUUGCCACUAAAUAACUCAAUUAAAAAAAUAUCUUAAUAUUUAUGUAUGAGUUGUUCUACUCGUUUUGCUCAUUUGGCUAUCUUUUCUAUCAUUGAAGCAAUAUUUGGAACCACUAUAUAUACUUGUUACUUAUGUUAUAUUUUCUUCUUCAUAAAGGUCAUCCCUAUAGAUAAGCUUUUUGUUGUAAAUUAUUUUGUUACUUCAUUCAAUAUUGAGGUAUAAAGUAUCAUCUUGUAUCAAUCGUCUUUAAAGGAGAUUGUCUUUGCUAGCCAAUUUCUUUUGUACUAAUACUUUUCAUCUUUGUCAUAUCAACAGUCCUUGCAAGGCAUCAAUCUCCAUUGGCAUAGAUUGUUGUGCCAUAAUAUUGAAUAAUAAUAUAAGAUUUUAUAUUAUAGGUCAUACUCCACGGUUUCUAAAAUUUAUAGCAUUGACUCUCUUUAUAAUUCUAACUACCUCUUCAAAUAUUUAUAAAUCUUUUAAUUCCACAUCUCAUUGAAUUAUAGGUUUUAAUCCUUAUACAAACCAAUUCAUCAUCUCCACCUUUGAAAUAUUUUUAAUUUUAAAAACAUAGAGACUUGAAUCAGAAGACAUAAUCUUACACUGACUUAGAUUAUAUAAGGUUAGUCAAUUGAUUGUAUGCUAACUUCUUUGCAUUGAUGGGCCAAAAUUGAUUCCUAAUUUUAAUCUCAAACUCCACUCAGUUACAAAAUCUACCUUAACUUCCUUAAUUUUGAGCUUGAUGUCACUAUUAAAUGGCUGCCGCAUCUUUCAAUAGCUAGUUGCAUACACAAUGUUUUUAGUGGUGCUUACCCGAAAUAGUUGGAGAUAUUGUCACAUGCUAAAGAGCCAUUAGCAUACACCUCAUUGCCUUAAAGUUCUAGAAUUUGUUUUGAGCUUGCUUAAUUUAAAUCUAGUAGAUGUCAACUUCUUUAUCCUAGAAGCUUCUAUUUAUCCUUGUUGAAUCGCUAUUUGAUAUAGGAGGUGUUGCAACUAAGCUUCUAUUUGGGAUGGCUGUAUCAUAUCUUCUAUGCCGCAAUUUUUUUGCCAAACUUUGUUAUUGUAAUGCCUUCUAUCUUUUCAAUUGACUUCUUAAAAAUAGCUCAUGAUAGCUUCAAAAUAGUAAUUGGUGUGACCACAACAAUUGACCUCUAAGUAAACAAUGGCUAUCAACAUACUACUAAAGAAUAAACUAACACUCGCUUUGAUACCAAUGAAAUGGGAUUAAAUUCUUUUAAGGAUAUAAAAACUCUUCUAGUCUAUAGCAACAUAAAUUCCAUCACAAAGUAAGACAAAAUAAACUAGAAAAAAAAUUGAACAAAAUUAAACAAAAUAGAAUAUGAAAGACAAAAUAAAGAGAAAAAAUAGAAAAGAACAAAACAAAAAAUGCAAACCAAAUUUUACUAAGAGAAACAAAUCAAAGCCAUAUGUGACUGAAUGCUUCCAAAUGGCCUUAAUCACUCUUAUUUAUACUUUGUCCAACCAUCUUAGAACUUUUUAGAAUGUUUCUAAUGGUGGAUCCCUCUAAGAUAACCACCUUUCUAAAAGAUUCUAAAGGUAGAUCCUACUUAGAUAACUACUUUUUUAAAAGAUUCUAGAUGUAGAUCCUACCUAGAUAACCACGCUUAGUUUUUCUAAGAUAUUCUAUGGUGGGCUCUAUAAGGACCACCAACUUCGCCCCAAUUCUAAAAACUUCUAAAAUCUUUUCAAAAAUAGAUCUAAUUACCUAUCUCUAUGCAUUAAUAAUAUAAUUAUAUUAUCUAUGUUCCAUUAUAUUUAUAUUGCCAUUGAAUUAUAGUAAUAUUGAAGAGCACAUGUAUCACUCUCAGAUCAAAAUUGAAAAAGUUGUUUGUCAUAUUUUAUAGCAAAGAUAAUUGCUUGACUCAAUGUUUGAGGAUCAAGUAAGUUGAACAUCAAUUUUUUGAUCUCAUAUUAUAAUCUGUAGAAAAAUUAGUUAAUAAGUGCAGCAUUAUCCCACUUAAUAUCAAUUGUAAGUUGUCAAAACUAUAAAAUAUAUAACAUUAUUAAUUAAUUAUCUUAUUACAAUAUAUAGAUCUUAUUGAUUGCAAUACAAAUUACAUCAUGUUUUUCAUAAAUAGAUUAAAAAUUUACCAAAAAAGCCUUUAGAUUAUAUAAUAUUAGAUCUCAUUGUUCAAAAAAAGAAAAAAAUUAUGAUAAUGGUGAAUUUGAAAGAAGUAUAUCAAUGAAUCUAACUUGUGAUUUUAAAGUUGAAUAGUUUUGGAAUUUUAGUUCAAUUACAAGUUCUACUUGAUUAAUAAAUCUUCAAAACUUGGAUCUUGUGCCAUCAAACUUCUUGAGCAGUAUAAUCCUUGAUUCUCUAACAUUGGAAGGAUGUUCUACAAUAAGAAAAGAGACGUGAUUUAGUGCAGAUGUUGAAGCAAUUACAAUCAUCUCUAUAUCUUUGCUUCUUGCGAUUUUUAUUGAUCCUUGAGGUAGUAAAUUGAAUUGAUGCAUCACAAGUAUUAACUCCCUCAAUCUCUCUUGCAUUUGUGCUAUUGUACUCUUCAUUUCAAGAUGUCUAAUAUGUUAUUUUUAUUAUUAUUGUUUUUUAUGAUUUAUUAAUAUAUAUAUAUAUAUAUAUAUAUAUAUAUUAAAAAAAUAUAUUAUAAAAAAUAAUUUAAAGGAAAAAAAACUUAAACUAUAAUUUAAAGAAUAUUUAAUUUAAUUCUUAAUAUUAUAAAAUUACAAGAAUUUACCUUGUAUAAGAUUAAAAGUUAGCCUUGUACAAGAUUAAGUAUUAAAUGUGUAAACAUCCACUCUUAGACUUGGCUUGGAAUAUGUAUAUAUGUGAUAUCCUUACAAUUAUCAUUCAAAUUAUUUUGUAGUAUUGUUUGCAUUAUCUAAGUUGACGUCAAUUAUACUUAUUAUUAAGUGCUAGUAAUUGAAUGAAUGAGUGAAGAAAGGAUUUGGUUUAGCUAAGUUAAGUAAGUAAGUAAGGGAGUCAAUAUUGUUCAAUUAUAGAAGGAAUUCAAAUUUGAAAUUAUACGCCAUAAAAGACUUUAUUUUAUUAUUAUUUAUUGAAGUAACUUGCUUGUAAUUGCAACAAACACAAAUUGCUUGCUUGUUGAGAUAGUACCUUAUUUAUAGAGCUCUUUCUUUUGCAACACACUUAGAUUUUGAAGUACAAUUGCUAAGCUUUGCCUAAUAGGAGUGUAUGUUCCAUUCUUAGUUGCUUGGUAAGUUAUGUGAUAGCUAAAUUAGUACAAAUAAAAAGACACUCUUUAUAUCUCUUUAUACAAGAACAUAAAUAGUCAUGGCAUCAAAAUCUACACCAUGGGAUGCUUGUAAAUGUAUUUGAAUUAUUGCAAUGUAUUAGAAUUUUGAUGUUAUUCAAGUUAGAUUCUAGUACUAGUCAAAAUUGAUAUUGGUCGUUGAUUAUUAGUUGUAAAAGGAGUUGUUGCCAAAUGAGUUUAAAGAGAUGGUUUUGGACCAAUUGGUGCUGAUGGUAAUGAGUAAGUUGCCAAACAAACACAACAUGAUGUAUUUCAAGGCUUGACCAUUGGAGGAGGGGCUACUUGCUACAAGAGAUCGAUUAAUCUUGAUUGCACUAGAUUGAAGGUAUUGCCUUUGCUAAAUCUUAAUGAUCUUUUGAAUCUAGGUUUACAUUCAAUUUUUCAAAAAAUGACAACUUCAAAAUUUCUAAACUUCAUUAGCAUCCACAUCUUUAUAAACUUUUUGACUUUUUAUCCUUAAUCUUAUCAUGCAUUUAGUUUCACAAUGCAAUGUAAAGAAAACUAUUAUUAGAUUGUAUUAUACCUUGUUAUAGACGUAAACUUUGAUCGUAAAACAAGCAUUGAAUGCAUUUAAUUUCACAAUGCAAUGUAAAGACAACUAUUAUUAGAUUAUGUUGUACCUUGUUAAAGACAUAAACUUUGAUCAUAAAACAAGAAUUGAAUUGACAACCAUGUUUUACAAUUUGAUAUUGUGUUUGAAUCUAAUAUUGUUGUUCUAUUUAUUGGAUGAAGUACUCUGAUCAUGGUUCAUGGUUGAAUGUGACAACACAAUGCAUUAGUACAAAGCCAUUCAUCAUCUAGACAAGGUCAAACUUUUGAACUAUAAUUAUUCACAUGAAUUAUUCCAUAGAUGUAGUAAUAUAAAUUCAUGUAGAAAGCUGAUCAAUCUGGUGAUUUCUUUCGAUCUACGUAUUACUACAACAGCACUCCAAAAUAUUUUGGGUGAAAUUAAACAUUGUCUAAAUAACCUAUUCUUGCAAAGCUGAUGUGUGCAUGGAAGAGAACACAUAAGCAAACAAGUGAAGGAUGAGUUUUUGAACAAACAGCAUACAAACAUGAGGUGUAAGAGACUUUUGUUUGAGGUAUCAAUUAAAAUGAUGAAAGCCCUUGUAAAAAAUCAGAGACUAUUCUGUACAUACCAUCCACAUGCAAUACAAGACUUUGACCAUUUGUAAUCAAAAUGCACAUACAAGAUGUAGUGGUUUUUAUAUGAUAACAACUUUUGCAUGCAUUGUAACUUGUGCAUUUUAUUACAUGUCAUGACCAAAGUAAAACAAACAAAAUAAACUGUGUAAGUUUUUUCUUUAUAAUUUUUUCAAUAAUUUUGUUAUGUUGAACUUGGUGAAUUAGCACAUUACACACAAAACAGACUAUAAUCAUGAGCACAAAGAAGGUAUCGAUACAACAGUUUUGAUAAAAUGGUAACUUAACAAAAAGCACUUGAGGUGAACUUUAAUCUUGCUCUCACUGUUCAGUAAUGAUAUUACUCCCUUACAAAAAAAUUAGCAUGAUGAAGAGUUUUACUUGAUCCAUAUGAAUAGUUUGCAUACUGUGUGCAUGAUUCAUAUUUCGGUUGCAAUCUCACUUUUUCUUUUAUCUUAUUCCAAUCUGUAAAAUUUCGUCACUGUACAUCACUGUCUACUGAGUUGGAUUCCAUAGAAAACUUACAUUAAAUACACCUUCAUUUUCAAUGCUGAGGAAAACCAGAGUCUCAUGCAACCAGCAUUGAGUGAUGGUUGGGAAUCUCACUCCAGCUUUGGUCAUACUCAUCGUAUUCAGUCACAAUCUGUAAGUUAAAUGUGAUUCGUGUUUAUGAAGCUAAAAAAACAUCCUCAUCACACACUCGUCACCAACACAAGGAUCGUCCUGUUCUAAUGCUUUACCAUAACCAAUGAACUAUUCAACCCAGCACUCAAAACUAUUGCACACAAUGUCACAUGUUUCAUGAAUACACCUGCUCCAAAUGCCACACUUUCCGUUGCCAAAUACUCCACAAAUACUGAUACACCUUCCCCUACCUCGGAUGCGAGUGUCUCCUAUGAUACAUCAUGACAUGAAGUCGCAUGCUGCAGGCUCAUCACCGACGACGCCCUUGCUCCAACAAGGCAACUGCCCUAACACUACCAUGAAGCAAACCCUACACAGCUCAACAUGCUUUCCAAUGAGAAGAGGUGCACAUGUUCUUGACUCCACGACAACCAGUUUGGAUUACAGCCAAGUCACAACGUACCCAAAGUCAAUUGCACAUCUUACUCAAUUCCAAUAUAAGCGACACGACAAACAUUCAAUGCAACACUGCUGCUUACUCUGUUACAGCGAAAGGGAUGGAGCCUCGAAGUUCAUCACCGGGCCACAAUGUUCACCUCAUCAGACCAGGCCACCUCGCAGCAAGCACGUCAAAUAUACACAACUCGCACGUCAUUCUGUCCAAACGGAAUCCCACACCCAGGACACUUCCGGUGCCGAAGUUCGAGGUUCCGUUGAAUGCAAGGACUACAGAAUAGAUGGUAGCACUUGGUAAUAACCACCUGUCUCCACAAUGGUCCACCGAUCAGUACAACACAAACUGCCCGCCCAACGCCGUUUACAACAUCGAGUGACUGCCUGAUGAGCACUACACGUGCACGUGUUUGCACUUGCCAACGAUGUCCUGCUCGAACUACAAGCAAAUUAGAGGAGUACCUCCUUGGAUCGAUCCUGACACACACUGCAUUUCAAUAUGGCCUCGUAGUUCCUGAUUUCUUCGCGUAAUCGGUCUACCGUAGGUCCGCUAUCGUGAGGAGUUUGCAGGCGUGUUAUUUUCAUAUUCAGAACCUCCAACUCUUCUCGAGCUCUUCUUUUGUUGAACCUAUGUCAAGCGGAACACAUUAACCAUAAGUAUCUUCAGAAUCUGCUUUAGGAAGUGAAAACAAGCUCGCAUAAUUUCAUCCUGCCGUAGGGAAUUUUGAAGAACUAUUUGAAAACACGGUAAUAAGCAUAAUCCACACGCAAAACUAUGAAACCAGGAAAAUCAUUACUGACCUUUCCUUUUCUAAUUGCAGGUUUACAUUUAGGAAAUUUUGACCACGCUCUUCCAACAAUUUGUGAGCAGCAUCAAGCGCUAACUUGACAGAAGACAACUGUUUCUCUGCUUCAACAGCCUUCCGUUUCGCACUUUCCAUUGCUGACGAUUGCUGCCGAUUCUCGUCUGUUGCUUUCUCAAGAUGAGCAAUGAAUGUACUAGCCUGCAGCAACCAUUUCAUCCAGCUUCAUUAUGAAUAUGAACUGUCAGUUGCAGAUCGGUUAAUCUUUGAUCUAUUGCAAAGAUCACAUUGAUAAGAAAUUGAAUGAGCUUAAGAAGGGAAACAUUAAUCGACUAACAAAGCAGGAAGGUUGAACACAAACUAAACGCUCAAAUUAUAGAAACUGAUUCAUAAAGAGCUCAAAAAACCUGAAUACUUCUGCACUCAAGAAACCCAACGAUGCCUUCAUUAAUUCCAGUCCGACACUCGGUAACAAAUCCACUAAAUAAUAAGGUGCAUACUUGUUCUUCUAGAUAAGUUAUCCGCUGUUUGUGAAGAUCAGCAUCAGAAUUUGCAUGCUGCAUAUCGGCAUCCAACACUUGCUUCUCGGCUUGUAGAGGAAACUGCAGCUGUCUCGCCUUGAGGCUCUCCGACAUUAACUGGAUUCAAACGUAAGAGCAUCCACAUCAUUCUUCACACUGCUCAAAAGGACGUUAUUUUUUAGUUCUUCACGGACCAGGAGAAACAGGCCAAAAUGGAGGAGAUUUAAAAGAAAGAAUCUUAAUGAAGUCCCGAGGCAUCCUCUCGUAACAUCAGAAUAAACACCCAAUGAAAAGAGCCGCAACGUCCGAAAUUUUUUUAACAAAACAUAUCCACACACAGCUUAAGCCUUUGACAUAACAAUUCUUACAACUAUACGUCCUAUGGUGCAGCAUAAAAUCUCACCUGAGAAUUGUACUCGUCGCGCUCUUUGAUUUCUUGAAGUAGCCUCUGAUUUUGAGUCUGCACGUCUUCGUACGCAUGUAAAAUAGCCUGCAACGUCGGGCAAUAAUUUAUGAAGCAUAGAACCCAAGCUGGAAACAAAGGAAUACAACAUUUUUGUGACAAGUUUAAGGAAGAACUGAGACUAGGCAGAACAAAAAAAACCUCCGAUAAUUGGACAUAGUCAGGUUAUUCAAUCCAAAAUCGUUGGUUACAAGAACUUAAAGAUAUUAUAAAAAGAAUGAGUUGAGAACGUACUUCUAUUUCACUAAUAUAUGGAUCCCCUUCCUCUUUCUUGGCCUGCAGGGACUCCUUUAAAUCUAGAGAAACCCUGCACCAAAGAAAGCAAUAACUAAAAAUCUAAAAACCAGAUGCAUUGGAAGUUGCACUGUUCUGAAGAGAGAAAGGCUGCAAGAGAAAGACUAACACAUUAUCCACAGAAUAUGUGAAUAUAAAGUAUUACGAAACCUCCUGAACAACAUUUGGUGUGAUUAUCAGUUUCAAACAGAAAAUACAGGAAGUACAAGGAUAUCCCACGCGGACGACCAUUGGUGAUGCUAUACAUACGUAAAUUGCUGCAGGUUAAGAUAUCUGAGUUUUCCCAGGUCGUAAAUUUAAAUUAUACAACAUAACUGAGGGCUUAGACUGAAUAUAUUCAACACGUAUAACUAAACAUGAUAGUUCUGUGAGUCUUUCGUAUAGACUCGGAAAAAUUCAACCACGACAGUAAGGUCAUGAGUUGAUGGUUAUACCUGUACGAAGCUUGUAGACUCUGCCGCAGCUCUGCAAUCUCAGCUUCCACUGCAGCAAGCUUCUGUUGACAUGCUGCCUCUGCUUCAUUUGCAUUUUUUACGCGAAGUUCUAGAUUGUGUUCGUCCAGGGCCAAUUGCAAUCGUCCCAUUUCUGCCUGAGCUCUACACUCUUCCUGCUGUAACUUCCUCAUUUCACUGCCAAAACAGUCCAGUUAAUUUAGUUGCCUGGGCAGUUCACCAGGGUCAAGGUGGUUAGAUAUUUUUGAGAGAAAAGUCCACAACUAAUAUAAGAUAUAAGUCUGUUCGUAUGUAGCAGCUUUCCAUUACACAUUGACUAAACUAUGACAUCUAAUUCUCACAAGUGAUCAAAACAUUCACCUUGAAUCAUUUGACUCCUUGUUAUACAUAUCGAAGAUAAGCUUCAGUUCUUUCUCACUACCUCGCAAAACCCUGAACUGCAAGUUACAAACAGAUAUUCUCUUGCCUUUUCAUCAUUUCAAAGUAGUAACUGAAAAGAACGUAAAAAUACAAAGUGCAGAAUAUAAUUCCGGCAUGACAGCAAACACAAUCGAAUCUCUGACAGGAUGAAGUAAGAAAAGGAAAAAGGGAAAAUGUAAAACUAGUCUUCCUCUCCACAACAAGAUGGCCAUCAAUGAGCUCCAGGACGACAAAGCUACCUCAUUUUGAAGUGAAUUGAUUUCCGAAACUUUGCGGGCAUACUGGUCAGAUAGAAGCCGAGUUUCCACUGUCUACAAACGAACAAGAUCAAAAUUAGACUGCACUUAAUAACAGCAAGUUAUAAGGUGAUAUGUGGAUUUUUACAGACAAACAAACAAAAUAAAAUAGAACAUAAACAAAAACCAACUGCCUAUGAAAGCUGAGAGUAGUAUCUAGACAAUUGCAAGAUGUGGCAAGCGGCAUUAUGAUCAAAACCCAUUUCAUAAUUAGAAGCCACUAGAUUACCAGCUGCAUGUAUGCAUGCGCAUGCAACGCAGGUGAAAGAUCAUCUCUGCAACAUCCAACAAAUAAUAUACCAACAGUAUGAUAGAUUCAAAAAACUACCGUACUUCUUUUCGCAGAUGUGUCACAAAAGUGUUUGCUUACUUUCCUAUCAAUGAUUGCACGUAAAGAAUGAAGCUCUGCUCGCAGAGAAAAGACAGCUGAGCCUGCUUCUUUAUACUCGAAUAGUUGUGCUUGCAUCAUACUCAUGUCUUUAUGAAGACUGGUAAUCACUUUCUCAAGAUCAGCUACUGACUCUUUUCUUCCUACAAAAUCGAAUCAGACAUCAAGGAGAGCCUAAAAAGACUAGAUCGAUGCGUAUAUUUUACAACAUUUGCUCGCCAAUAUCAAGAGACUAAAUAGUCGUAAGAUCAUUUCAAUGUAUACAAAAAAUUCUCAAACGACUUUAGAUACCCAGGUUUUCAGGGAGAGAGCAUGAUCUUACACACAUUGCAAGACCUCGACAACACACACCUGAAGCAUGAGUAGCGCCUUCAACUCUUAGACGCAAAGAAUCACAAUCAGACAUGCACUGCCGUAACUUUAAUUCCAAAGCUGCCGCCCGAUCAUCUGAGGUGGUGCUAGCCUUUUGAGCUGCAUCACCAGCUUCAGUUUUCAAUGCAAUCUCUUUCUCGCGACGUAAAAGAGAGACAUGCUCACCCUACACAUAGAGAGAUUUACGAUCAGUCACGAGUCAAUUGGAUUAUAAUUCACUGACCUAACUCAAACUCGAAAAAUGAGCAGUAGGAUUACCAAGUGGAAACUACACACCUGUAAUUGGUCCACCAUAGCCCGAUACCUCUCAACUUCACUCCUCAGAUGUUGAACUUGCUCGGUUAGUGACUGAUAUUGUCGAGAAGACACAAUGCGCUCUUGGUCAUCCAGUUCGUUCUGUUCAUCAAGAACGGACAAAGUCAAUAAAAAUCAAUGAUGUAUAUAGCCAGGCAACAAUUACACGUAUUAAUUCAACAUAAUCCCCAAACCUAACCAAAACUUGAGAAAGAAUCGUUGCAAAACCAACCUGCAUGUGUUGAAAUUUUUUAAUAACAUCCAAAUGAUUCUGCAAAGCUUCUUGAAGCUCCAUGAGCCUUCGAGCUGCCAAAGUCUGCAAGCUCCAAUAGCACGUUGGUGAAAUUCUUGCAAACAUGAUUAUACACAUGCACAACCACAUCGACUCCCUGCAACAUACAAAUCUACAAGCAACAUGAGGAUUCAAUGUUAAUAAUACGUUUAGUCUACCACAGGUGUUUGCCUGCGCAAAUACUCUUUGCUUGAAAGAAUUUACAAAACGGCAUGUGCCACAGGAGCAUUCAAUACCUUGACCUCUUCCAAGUCUGCUUCCAGUUGACAACAUUCUUUCGAAACUUUUUCUUGUGAUGCACCUCCAUCUCCAAAUUCAAAUUUAUUACUAGUUAAAGUGGCACUAGGUGUAGGCGGACCAGAUAAAAUCACAUUUUCAGAACGUAGCGCAGCCAACUGGUGCCUAACACCCUCUAGAUCAGCACAAGCUUCCUCGAGUUCGUCUGCAAUGUAAAUACCGUAAGUAUUUAAUAAAAAUCUUGCAGCAAUUCCUGUCUGUAAUAGCAGAUGAGGAACGUCACAUAUUUAUGUGUAUUCCAUAGUGUUCAAACAUUUGUAAUGCUGAAAAAUGUUAAAGAAGAUAAAAAAGCCAAAAUGCACCUUUUAAUCGUUUGAGCUCAGCUCGAUCCUUCGCUUGAAAAUCAUGACAAGUUCCAAGCUCAGCUGAGAGUUCUCGGUGCUUUAAAUGAAAUCCAUCCACAAGACUGCGCAAUUUCUUUGUUUCAGCAUAUAGCUCCUCAUCUUCCUUUACAAGCGGAAGAAGGUUCACUGCUAAGCCUGCAAAACACACCUCGUGCCUAAAAUUAGCAACAGAAUUGGCAGCCAAUUAUAUGCGUUAACAAAUCACAUCUACAAGUAGAUUGAUUAGAGGAUACACUCUCGUGGAAAGAAUCACGAUCGAUAUGAGAAACAUACCCAGUAGAACAAAUUUUCAUAUCUUUAUAUGUAAAAGUUGUGAUGCCCGUGCUAAUGACAACAUUUUGACAGUGUCCCCAUUUGUGUAAAUUUCUCACCAUUGGAAGCAAUCCCAUUCAGGAAAGUGCUCAAAAGCUCUUCAUUUCGAACUUGCUCAUAAUCAAUGCUUUGCACAAGAAGUUUCAAGAUUUCAGCGGUAGACGUCUGUUGACUGCAGAGUCCAGACUUAACGAAGUCGUUGCUUCCAUUGGUUGUGGAACUUCCGGUAGCUCCGUUAUCGAGAAACCGUUGGAGAAAAGUUUGCUCAGAAGAAACUGAGGAGUUGUUCCGAUCUAUCAACGCCAAGCAGUCUGAAAUCACCACAACCUCAAAAUACUGCAUUCAAACAGAGCUUUCACCUGGAAUCAGAAUAAUAGUAAAGACCUUGUAUUUUAAUUAAUGAGUAGCCAACACGAUAUAAUCAAAACUAUAAACUCCACACGAAUCAUACGAUAGAGAUUCAUAACAUCACAUAAUAAAAUGAAAUCACAAUAUGACUCAAACGCACCAUUAGAGGCAGGUUCCAGUAAAUAAGUUCCAUUAGAUGAGGAACUGUAUCGCACUGUAAGCGACUCCAAAUCAUCCACAACCUAAAGGGGAACAAAGAAACAAAAAUUUAGAAGAGCCUCCUCACGUUGGAAAAGCUCUAAAUGGUUUAAUGUGCUUCACAAUUUAAUCUUGAUUUACAUUGCAGCUUGAGAUAGAUUAGUUGCACUGAGAGAUUUUGCAACAACAAAAGUAACAUCAUUAUUUUAUUUUUAGAAAUAAUAAAUAAAGAAUUUCAAGGACAAACUCUGAUCGCUUUACUCUGCGGCAUAGUAGCAGUAAUCACAUGUGCCCCAGAGGAGUUGAUAAAGAUGACGCUUUCUACCUUCUUAACUGUCAAUUUCCGACAAUCCUCAUAUGUGACUAACUGGACCAGUGUACCUCAGUGGGUGACUUGAAUCUAACCUGAUUCCAAACCCGACUGACUUUUGAGAGAUUGUCAUCAAAUGAGGCCUGGUUGCUAAGAAGUUGAUUCAGUUUGCCCUCCAAAACAUUUAUUUCAUUGCGCUGAACAUAGAGCUGCUGGGCAAGCUUAUGAUUUUGAAACUGCAACAUUUGGGCAUCCACCUGCAUUUCCACCAAUCAUCCGUCAAUUGCAAAUUGACCCCAAUGCUUUAAACACGUUCUAUAUACUUCUCCGAAAGGUACAGGAUUUCAGUACGCGAAUUCCCAUUAUCUUGUCUAAUUCAAGGCGUGGUAUCUGAAACGCGAAACAGAAGACGCAAAGAAAACACAGAAAAGGGAAACGUACUUUCUUCUCUUCAGAUGAGGGUGUAUGAGGUUGUUUCUUAACUGGGGGUGACGCCAGAUGAUCUUUGUUAAGGUGGCGUCGUUUACGGUCAGGUUCUUCUGUGCUUCCCAUUAUUUCUCGACCUGGGAUAGAGAGUGCAUUAACCGGAGUUACAAAUUCCAGUCAUCCUCUCGCAGUCCCAAUGUCUGUAAAAAACAACACAUAAACUGCAGAUUUGUCUGAGUACAUUUGUAUUAGAAUCAGAUUACUAAAAAAGUAUAAACUUUACUCGACUCUCGAGAGAUUGCUGUACAGAACCUUCGGCACAGAAAAAGAACACGAGCUACUUUAGAGCUGGUAGCGAAAUAUUUUAUAAAGAGGAACCUUUCGACACUUCCGCAAAGUGAACGUCUAAAGACAAAACUAUCAGCUAAGAAUCUAUGAACAGCUUGUAAAAUCCUGAGAUUUUAAAGUUCCUGCUUACGACAACUGGAUACUUAAAGUAGUCGAAAGCUUCCGCUUGCUGAUUUUUCUACCUCACUCCACUUGCACUGUAAGUCAACCCUAGGCUAGAGAACAUGGAACUUAGACAUUCAUGAAUUUACACAAGACUUCAACAAAUCAGCAAAUAAGCAUCAAUCCCCUACGUACAAGUAUUGCAAUAACCACUGAAAAUGAGAUUGCUGCAAGGGAAGAUCCCUGCAAAUGUGAUCAAUAACGUAAGAAUCCGAGCUUGUGCAAAUAUAUUAUCUCAAAACCCAGCGAUGUCAGGUUACAGACCAAGAUACCGAAGCACCAGCAAACUGUUUAUAUAAGGGGUUUUCUUCGAUCACCUUGCCCAAACCCUAAAUUCACUUCACAGGAAAAUUCUACGGCAGACGAUUGCGAUGCUUCGUACAACUAUCCAAAUCUGAUUCAAGCGAGCUUUUCAACUUUCAGCUCCACAUCUUGGACUCGAAACCAGUGGAAACCGGAAUCAAGAAUGCAGAGCCCAACCAUUUCGAGCCUAUAUUACAGUACGCGCUCGUAAAUUUACGCCCAUGAUUCAAGGAAGAACUUCAAAUAUUUCGUCCUUACUUCCAGCGACAACCAAAAAUGCCCAACACGCUAGCAAGUUACAACACCAACUCGAGCGCAAGUACUGCCGAAAACCUUGACAUGGUUCACAAUUGCUCUCAAACCAAAAAUACUCCCUACAACAUCUACAGCCAUUUUCAUGACAAACGACGUUUCCUGCUAACUGUUUUCACAUAUCACAGACACGGCGCUCUCUCUCCCGCUCGUACUCACGCUCACUGACACAUAUACACAUCACAAAACCAUGACCUGUACACAAAACUCUUCACACACACACCUCCAUGAUCCACGUAUCGUCACUUCCUUCUCUAAACAAACCAAUAGCCACCGCAGCGAGGAAGCAAUGAAGCCCAAAUACCUGAACCUCCUCUCCCAGAUUGGUACCCUACAGUUUGAUGAAAACAAAAUCGUGACUCUACAUUUGUUCUGCGCAAACAAAUGUAGAGUCACCCUGGAAUUUAUGAGGUGGCCAUUCUGUACGAUGGCAAAAGAGUGAAUUGAAGGAGAGAAGACAACGUGAAACAAAACAACAAAACAUAACAAACAAACAAAAAAUCAAUUGCUUAAAAAAAAAAAAAAUGGGGGGCACGGAGAGAUGGAGCUCCUGUAAAUCUCAGUCUUCCUCGGACAAGUCGGCUCUGUGCGUGGCAGAUGUGUGCAUGCUUUCCAUAGCCAGCAGGGACAUCGAUCUCCGCCACAACCAGGAUUUCCUUCUUUUGUUUUCUGAUUUUUCUCUCUGUAAAGGAGGUUAUUUUGUUUUCAAGUAAUGCGUUUUACAAAGAUUUAUGUUUCUCGAAUUCAUAUUAAUUUUAAAUUCUUUUCUUUUCUUUUUUACUUGUGAUUUUAGAAUUAGAAAUACAAAUCCGGAAGGAAAGCAAGCACCACAACAAAAAAAUAAAUAAAACAAAAAGUAAGGAACAUGGAAAAGUGAACCAGCUGAGAAAGAUUAGGUGAAAGAUUAGUCUAGUGCUUUGAAUCAUUGGUUUUCUUGAGGAGUAUGGCUUAUUAGGUCCUAAUACUUUGCAUACAAUUGAACAAACAAAUUCUAUGCCUCAUUAAAUGUCCUUGAGGAUGAAUACUAAACAUGUUUUCAGAACUAUAAUCUUACAUAUGCUUUAGUAUUUUAUUUUUGCUAAUUGGCAAUGCUAAAAAAAAAAAUUAAUUAUACAAAUAUUAAAACAAAAAGAAAAUGUUCUUGUCUUAUGUCUCUUUCACUUUAAAAUUGUAUAAUGAAGGAUUCUUUAUGUUUUCAAUUGUAGUUGCUCUAAUAAACCUGUUUAAUUUAUUACAUGAAUAAAUUCAAAUUAGAAUCCUAAUAUUUUUUCAUGCUGUAGAAAGAGGAAUCUAAAAGAUUUUAUGAUGAGUUUUAAAAAAAUAUGAUCUUAGAAUUUUUAUAUAUAUAUAUAUAUAUAUAUAUAUAUAUAUAAGAUAUUAUCAAGGAUAUAUUUCAACAAUGAAAAAUUAAUUUAAUCAAGAUAUACUAUUUUUAUUAAUAAUUAUUAUAGUUUAUUAUUUUCAUUAUAUUUUCUAAGUAUACGUUUUAUAUGGAAUAUUAAAUGAAACAAUGGAUCUCCAAUUCUUAAACUAUGCUAUUGUUUUAUAUUUAUAAAAAGAUGGAUAAUACUAUUAUAUUUUAAAAUAAAAACCAUUGUCUUUUUAGUGCUUGAUUUAUUAUAUUAAAAUAUUCAUAUUAUCUUCCAAAAUAUUUUAUAAAACUUAAAAUGUAUACUAUUUAGAUUAAAGAUCUUUUUUCAACUAUUAUGUCUUUGAUUUUAUCUUUAAGUUUUGUUUUAAUAUACAAAGUAAAACUAUCAUUUGAUCAUCUAAUUUAUAAUUUUUAUUAGAAUUAUUAAUUUAGAAUAUUAUACUAAUUGCAUAGUUGAUUGGCUAGUAAAUUAUUCAAGUUGACAUUAUAUGUCACUAUAAAAAGAGAAUGAAGACUUAUAAUUUAAUAAAUCUAAGGUUUGAACUUUCAUAUUUAGUUUAAGUAGAUCUAAAAUCCAAUAUGUUAGAAAGUCCUCUUCAAAUUUGGAUUUGAUUUACAAAGAGCUUGUUGAUCACCUUAAAUUAUUACUAGAUUAUUAGAUUUUUUUUCAAAUAUUGAUGCAUCCAUGACAUUAUUCUAACUUCUAAAGACAAGUUUUACAAAAAGGGGCGAUUACAUAUUAAAAAAGUCCAAGACAUGCAAAUUAUAUUUGCCACAUACUUUGAUCUUUGUUCUCUUUGAGGGUGGUUUCAACCAUUGAUAAAAGUUCUAUACUACGGCCAAAAGACCACCCUAUUAUAUGAUUAUUAUCAAGGCCUUCUUAACUUUCUUCAAAUAAAACAUUUUGAACACCUUUAAGAGUGGUUUUUACUUAUAGUAUUUCCAAACAUUGAAAAUCUCUUCUAAAGUCACGAUACCAAACACAUUAUAUCUUGUUAUUAAUUCAAGGAAGAAUAUGUUGUUCAUAAGGGUCUUCAUUUCUAUUAUAUCAUCUUGAAGGCUAUGACAAUUUCAAUAGCUUAUUUAGUAAUUAAGCAAAAGAUAACUCUUAAGAUGAAUUUGUUAUGUGUUGAUUCUUCAUCUCUUUAAUUCUACAAAUUUAAAGAAACUACAAAUAAUGAUAUGCUAAGUUAGAAUACAUUCAUAUAUUCUAUCAUUGGACAAAAUAUAUAAAUGGAAGAUUCACAUAUCAACCUAUUCAUAUGUUCUUUUAUUGGGUUAAUAAGAAACUACCUCCAAAUUAAGUACCAAAGAGAAUAAAUAUUUAUAACAUAUAUUCAUCUACAUAAAAAAAUUGUAUAGAUCUAAUUUUUUUCAAUUUACCCACUUAAAUUGGUAUUGAUAUUGGUAGCCAAGGAAAUGAAGAUAGCCUAGAGAUAGUUUGAAGGGAAAUACAAUAUUUUAAAACAUUACAACAAGUGUAAUAUAAUUAAACAAGAAAAAUAAAGCCAUGCCAACAUGUUAGCUAAACCAAGACAAAAAGCAAGACCAUUUAAAUAUUACAUGUAAAAAUUACCGCACUUUUAAAUACAUGUUAAAUACAUGUGAAAUACUCGUACACAGCAGUGGGUGGAUUCACAAAAUAUUUUCCCAACUCUUUGCUAUUGUUUCUAAAAUUUCUAAAGAUGGUUGCUCUUGAAUGCUGGCUGCAAAUUGACACAAGCACGACUAACUGGAAGCUUGUAUUAAAGUAGAAACAUCAGUCCUUCUUAUGGCCAUUAUCAAAAUAAGCUGCCUGUUUCUGCUUGACUCUCCUUGCUGUAGGAUCUGAACUUCUUUCUGACUGUGAUGACAUUAUAAGAACCUGAAAAGCAACAAGCGAAUCAGUUCCAUCAAACUUCUUGAUAACUCGAUCAUUUGCACUCAAGAAUAGCCAAGCUGCAGCAGUAAGCAAUCACCAUAAUUAAGAGAAAAGCGUUCACUUCUCUUGCUACUAAAUCCAGAGAAAAUUUUCAGUAACCCAAACGAUGACAGAGAAGAAAGUAAAAAAGUGCAUGAGUAUUUGAAAGUUCAUUAGCAUAUGCAUCUUAAGUUGUUGACUUGCGAAUGCGGAUGCAAACAAUUUCUUCCAAAUUCGUCUGGAGAGAUUUAAUAAACAAAUUGCUUAAGACAUCAGAAAAGAUAAACCUGAACACAUAGCAUAACGACCACGAGGACUCCGACCACCCAAGCGAUUCCCUUCCACGUGGAAAAUAUCGGUCUAAGCAUCCACCAUGCUGCAGCUAGCAAAGUAAUUGCCCAGGAAAUCACAAACUGCACAUCAUCACCAACACAAACUCUCAGCACCCAACGUGUAGAAUGAGACAGAGAAUAUAUGCUUACUCACUAGAGCUACAGAAGGGUGACAAGUGCGAGAGACAUUCAAGGUUGAGAGUUUGAAUUAUGUUUUAAAAGAGAGUUGGAAAAGACUUUACUUAUCCACUUAAAUGUGACGCAGUUAACAGUGCACAUGGUCCAAAUCAUCUUUACUGAGUAGGAGUCAUUCAACUCACAAUAAGAGGUUUUAAAGGCCGUUCAAUCGGAAUAUACAAAUCCUCUCCAAACGUAUUUUCUUUCUCAUGCUGCUCCAGCCGAUCAUCCUGCACAAUAGAACAGAACAAUUACAUGUGUUAGAAAGCACUUGCCAAUACGAAUUCUUCCGUAAGAACGUUGGGCAUGUGACAGAUUUCGAGUGCAACCUUGAUUUCGAAUGCAUCAUGGCACCAUUUGGAGAUUUCAUUGGCCUCUUGAGGCAGAUCAGACAUAGGAACCCACCUCACGUGGACAUGAACCUGUCCAAGUAACCAAAGAGUAAGCACUUCCUGAUGUAAAGCAAAUACAUCAGGAAAAAGAAUGUACAAUAAAAUUAGCUGCAAAUGAAGGUAAACGUAUGCAACGUGAGACUCAAACAUACAGAUUGUGCUUUACCACGGAUGGUUGCCCUCUGAAAAUUCGGACCAUGGUGGGACUAGGCAGCUCUUUAGAUACAGCAACAGUCAUGUCAUAAACUGCUGGUACAAACUCACGCAAGUUCUCCACAGCUGAUACGAACCCCUAGAAGACAAAAACCGUAGUCAAAAAUCAAUGUGAACGCAAAUACCAUUAAUUGCAAAUCAUAGUUUCAUGAAACAAGACCUUUUCCGGAUGGAAGCGUGCAUAUAAACUCAUGGGUAAACAGUGCUCCUAAGAGUCUAGUGUACAUCUCAAAAUCAAAUGCAGAAUCAAGAUUUUCUGCUAAAAAACUUACGUUAUACAAGUAAUAACAUGUCAAAACAAUACUUAGAAAAAAGUUGACAAGUUCUGGUCCACUUGUUGCAACUAAUAUCAAGAAUCAAAAAUGCAUGUACCAACUCACCUUUGUGCGAGGAACAAGCACAUGUCUUGGAACACGUAGCCCUGCCUCAGUUGCAUAUUUACGUGCGGCUUCAAGCUUGGCCUUAGUAAACCGAGUACCUUCUGCAAAAAGAGCCACUCACAAGGUCCUUGGGAAGCCCUUCAGGCUUGAAUAACCAUUCUGCGCACACACCAAGACAGACAUGUUUCAAAAGUGCAAUACGUAAUUGAAGCUUACAUCUUAAAACCUAACAGGUACAGAAUAACAAUCAAUUAAAUUCGCGUGAGGAAUCAAUACCUUCAAAACUUUCUCGUCUUUGGUCCAAUUUCUUGACAAAAACACAUACUCCGAGAACCACAUAGACCAGCCAAUUACCGGAAGAAAUUUGGUAGACUUCUUCAUGACAGCUCGAGUCCCACCUAAACACCCCAAUCUCUGCACCACCAUAAAACACCCCCUUUUUUAGCAUAAGCAAAACUAGAACGGCGGACGUGUUCCAAGUGAUACUAUACCAAGAUAGAACUUUUACAAGAGAUUUCUGAGACAAGUUGGAAGCAAAAAAACAAACCUGAGCAAUAAUCCACCCCACGAGCCAAUCAAUGUCGCUGCGAUGGUUGCUAAUCACUAACGCGCGCUCCUUCCCUGCAGAACACAGGAAACUAAACCUAUUUUUCCAAUUAUCAAGCAUGCAGCACAUCCCGAAACACAUCAAAACUGCACUCAAAACAAUACCAAAACACAUCAUAUAAAUUGGGUAACUCACCUAAGUGCUCCGACGUCUCCCUUGGCGUGUAAACCUUCACCUGAAACAAAACAAAUAUUAGAGAAAUAAACAAAAUACAAUUAAAAGCUCCACAAGUACUCAAUCAGGACCUGCUGAUCCUGCCCAGAUCUUCAAUUUCUCACAACAGCGAUGUCAGAUUCCCGAUAAGCACAAAGAGAUAUCCGCCCAAUCUGCCUACCUUCACUCCUGCCCACCAGUCCAGCAGCCAUACGAGCUCCGACCACAACGCCUCCAUCAUAAUCAUGUUGACUACUCUAUAUGCCCUCCUCGAAAAUGGCAAAAUGAACAACACUGAGAUCACCUGCAGUAAGACCGACAACCAGGGCAUCCAUUACAACGCCCGCUGCGCUAAAAAGAAGUGAAAAAAAAAAAAAAAAAAAAAAAAAAAAAGAGACAACCCAACAACAACAACAGCAACAACAAGAAGAAGCUCAUAGAAUGCUUCAAAAACUUUACAGCUUCGAGAAACAACGGCAAUAAAACUCCAUCGAGACGAUAGAAAGCAAUUACAAACGCUUCCGCCCUAACCUGAAGGCCAUUGAUAAAUAAGCCGGAGAAGAUGAACAUGAGUCCCAGAGGAAGAGCGAUUAAGGAGCCCCCGCCCUCCAUAGCUCGCAAACUGAAGUAUGCUACGCAAUGGAAGCUAUCUAACUUCUCAUGAAAAAGGACUUGGGAAUUACGAGCAGUCAAUGGAAGACAGCCCAAAGCCAUCACGCAACGCAAUGCCCGCAUCCCCGCACGGAACCAGGCCGAUGCCCAGCUCAUUGAACGUCGAGGGACACGGACCUGUCGCUUUGAUGGGCAAUGAAACCGAGGUGGAAACUGGCACCACUCCACAUGACACACACUCCCUGUAAAUACCCACGCACUGGUUCAAUUCCUCAAGGAUUGUGCACCGCUACGUGUUGGUAAAACACACCAUCAUCAUCAAUAAAAAAAAAACAACAAACACAUGUUACUUCUCAAUAGUGAAGGGAAACUCGAACGUGAUCAAGCAUGUUCAGAAGCACGUUUUAGGUUAGUAUUUGGGGAUGUCCUGUUCAUGCUGAUUUGGACCCAUAUUUGUAUAAAUCUAUUUCUGCACAUGCCUGUGUGAUUUUAUUAAACGUAUGUGAGAACGUCUAGUGUUUUGUACAGUUUCAUUAAAAUGACUGCUGACCAAAUUUUGGUUGAUGGGUAAAGCUGACUUUGAAACAAUCUUCUAAAACUAGUUCAACAGAUAAUAUAGUAUUUCUGAAGGGAUUUAUGUGAGCAUUAUUUUCAACAACAUGUUUAACCAUCUUAGCCUGUGAUAUUGGUGGAAGAGGUAGCAUGACCUGGCGCAUGAGUGUUCUCAUAGUUUUCAGCUGUUGACGAGGCUAAAUCACUUACAAAGGUGUUGCUUUCACAUGCAACAGAGCCUGUGCAAACAUCACCGUUUUGGUCUGACAAUAUUAUUGUCAAUGGCAGCAGGCAGUUCAUUUGCAGGCGAAAACAGCACACAGAGAGAUCGUAAUUCGCAUUAUGCUUAACAAUGAAGCUACUUAAUACAGCUUGGUACUCGUUGUUCCGAAAAUCUCAGAAAGAGGAGUACUUGUUACCUUUUUACAAAAACAGUUAAAUUCUGGCAGUUGUGCUUCAAAAAUCACAUCAUUUGACCAAGUCUCGAAACUUAAGCUGACAAAAAGCGACGUUCAUGAGCUGAGCUCUAUCUUUCUCUCAGGUCUUGUGGUCAUCUGAAGAUAAGAUAACGUGAAGUAACCACUGAGUUGUGUGACAUUGUGCUGUGAAGAAGAAUGAACGUUGAGCUUCAUGGAUGAUGCCCAUAUGCUUACGAAAUUGCCAACUCACCCCCAGACCAUUGACGUUGCACAUUCGGUGUGCUCAUGGAUGACCUAACCAUAUCAAAGCUUGAAUUUAACACACAUAUAUGGAGUUUCCAAAUGGCAUUAAUUGAAUCGCCUGAACUAAACUAAUGCAGUUGACAUAAAGUUUUACAGGAGGAUCUAGUUCGUGGUUCUGGGAAUCUCCAGGAGUCCAGAUUUUUUUUUAUUCGAAGCAAUCUUCUCGCACGCAAGCAAAGUUUCCUCAAGAGAGAUGUCACCAGGUUGUCAGGAUUACACCUAAUCAACCUA
rnacentral:lncRNA from 1 species